GAUGAACGCUGGCGGCGUGCUUAACACAUGCAAGUCGAGCGAAGCACCUUGAUUUCUUCGGAAUGAUUGGUGACUGAGCGGCGGACGGGUGAGUAACGCGUGGGUAACCUGCCUCACACAGGGGGAUAACAGUUAGAAAUGACUGCUAAUACCGCAUACGACCACAGCACCGCCUGGUGCAGGGGUAAAAACUCCGGUGGUGUGAGAUGGACCCGCGUCUGAUUAGCUAGUUGGUGAGGUAACGGCUCACCAAGGCGACGAUCAGUAGCCGACCUGGGAGGGUGAACGGCCACAUUGGGACUGAGACACGGCCAAACUCCUACGGGAGGCAGCAGUGGGGAAUAUUGCACAAUGGGCGAAAGCCUGAUGCAGCGACGCCGCGUGAAGGAUGAAGUAUUUCGGUAUGUAAACUUCUAUCAGCAGGGAAGAAAAUGACGGUACCUGACUAAGAAGCCCCGGCUAACUACGUGCCAGCAGCCGCAGUAAUAC
rnacentral:rRNA from 1 species